rnacentral:rRNA from 1 species
UACGGAGGAUGCGAGCGUUAUCUGGAUUUAUUGGGUUUAAAGGGUGCGUAGGCGGCCUGCCAAGUCAGCGGUAAAAUUGCGGGGCUCAACCCCGUACAGCCGUUGAAACUGCCGGGCUCGAGUGGGCGAGAAGUAUGCGGAAUGCGUGGUGUAGCGGUGAAAUGCAUAGAUAUCACGCAGAACCCCGAUUGCGAAGGCAGCAUACCGGCGCCCUACUGACGCUGAGGCACGAAAGUGCGGGGAUCAAACAGG